UACGGAGGGUGCAAGCGUUAAUCGGAAUUACUGGGCGUAAAGGGUGCGUAGGCGGUUGUUUAAGUCUGUUGUGAAAUCCCCGGGCUCAACCUGGGAAUGGCAAUGGAUACUGGGCAGCUAGAGUGUGUCAGAGGAUGGUGGAAUUCCCGGUGUAGCGGUGAAAUGCAUAGAGAUCGGGAGGAACAUCUGUGGCGAAGGCGGCCACCUGGACCAACACUGACACUGAGGCACGAAAGCGUGGGGAGCAAACAGG
rnacentral:rRNA from 1 species